UGCAAGAGAUGAGUUUGUGACACCUACUUGGAUAGAUCUUGACUUGAUUUCUCCUCCCCGGCAACGGCGCCAGAAAUACUUCUGCUACUGCAACAAAAGACCUUCCAAUGGUGCCAGAAAUAAGCGUGUUGACGGGAGACUAUUCUUGUCUUGUUACUCCUCAGCAACGGCACCAGGAAUCCUUCUACUACAGCUACGCCUUUAGGGACUUCCUUGGCAAAUAUGCAAAGGAUUCCCCCGUGGCCUUGGAGCCUUGCGUUGG
rnacentral:lncRNA from 1 species